AUAUUUGAUUUUAGCUUAUAUAUUAAAUUUUCCAAUAUGUUGAAUGCUGCUAAAAGAGCGUGUAGAAAAGUUACUGGUAGGAGUGGAAGUGGUAGUGAAAGUAGUAAAAAAAGUCCUACAGCAUAAAAAUUGACUUCUAACCAACUUCAUUAUAUUCAAGUAGAUAUAAAUUGGAUAUAUUUUCCAAAUAAAACUUGCCGUGCAAAAGUUAUUUAUUAACUUCCCGAGAUUGUACAAGUUUUGUGUUGGGCAAAUCUUGACAACCAGUAUGGCUUGCUUAGUAGAGCAAUAUCGUUCUUAAUUAAGUCAUUAGAAACUGAC
rnacentral:lncRNA from 1 species